rnacentral:piRNA from 2 species
UGGGAAGCUGUACUGCUCUGCUAGGGCUGU